rnacentral:rRNA from 1 species
ACUCCUACGGGAGGCAGCAGUGGGGAAUAUUGCACAAUGGGGGAAACCCUGAUGCAGCCAUGCCGCGUGUGUGAAGAAGGCCUUGGGUUGUAAAGCACUUUCAGUAGGGAGGAAGGUAGUGUAGUUAACACCUGCAUUAUUUGACGUUACCUACAGAAGAAGCACCGGCUAACUCCGUGCCAGCAGCCGCGGUAAUACGGAGGGUGCGAGCGUUAAUCGGAAUUACUGGGCGUAAAGCGCAUGCAGGCGGCUUGUUAAGUCAGAUGUGAAAGCCCGGGGCUUAACCGUCGGAAUUGCAUUUGAAACUGGCAGGCUAGAGUCUUGUAGAGGGGUUAGAAUUUCAGGUGUAGCGGUGAAAUGCGUAGAGAUCUGAAGGAAUACCGAGUGGCGAAGGCGGCCCCUGGACAAAGACUGACGCUCAGAUGCGAAAGCGUGGGAGCAAACAGGAUUAGAUA